rnacentral:tRNA from 1 species
GUUUGAGUAGCUCAGCUGGUUAGAGCGUUAGACUGAAAAUCUAAAGGUCAGUGGUUCAAGUCCACUUUCAAACA